UACGGGGGGAGCAAGCGUUGUUCGGAUUUACUGGGCGUAAAGGGCGCGUAGGCGGCCACCGCAAGUCACUUGUGAAAUCUCCGGGCUUAACCCGGAAAGGUCAACUGAUACUGCGGGGCUAGAGUGCAGAAGGGGCAACUGGAAUUCUCGGUGUAGCGGUGAAAUGCGUAGAUAUCGAGAGGAACACCUGCGGCGAAGGCGGAUUGCUGGGCUGACACUGACGCUGAGGCGCGAAAGCCAGGGGAGCGAACGGG
rnacentral:rRNA from 1 species